rnacentral:rRNA from 1 species
CGGACGGGUGAGUAACGCGUGAGAAUCUAUCUUCAGGUCGGGGACAACAGUUAGAAAUGACUGCUAAUACCGGAUGUGCCGAAAGGUGAAAGAUUAAUUGCCUGAAAUUGAGCUCGCGUCAGAUUAGCUAGUAGGUGGUGUAAUAGACUACCUAGGCGACGAUCAGUAGCUGGUCUGAGAGGAUGAUCAGCCACACUGGGACUGAGACACGGCCCAGACUCCUACGGGAGGCAGCAGUGGGGAAUUUUCCGCAAUGGGCGAAAGCCUGACGGAGCAACGCCGCGUGAGGGAGGAAGGUUUUUGGACUGUAAACCUCUUUUCUUAGGGAAGAUAAUGACGGUACCUAAGGAAUCGGCAUCGGCUAACUCCGUGCCAGCCGCCGCGGUAAUACGAGGGAUGCAAGCGUUAUCCGGAAUUAUUGGGCGUAAAGCGUCCGUAGGCGGUUUCGUAAGUCUGUUGUUAAAGCGUGUGGCUCAACCACAUACAGGCAGUGGAAACUAUAAGACUAGAGUAUGUUAGGGGUAGAGGGAAUUCCCAGUGUAGCGGUGAAAUGCGUAGAGAUUGGGAAGAACACCGGUGGCGAAAGCGCUCUGCUAGGACAAUACUGACACUGAGGGACGAAAGCUAGGGGAGCGAAUGGGAUUAGAUACCCCAGUAGUC